rnacentral:tRNA from 1 species
UCCUGGGUACCUCAGCUGGUAAAGAAUCUGCCUGCAAUGCAGGAGACCCUGGUUUGAUUCCUGGGUUGGGAA